ACACACACACACACACACACACACACACACACACACACACACACACACAAUAGAAUAGCAGGAUGGAAAAUCCAGCCCUGUGGCCUUCAAGGUGUUGCCAUGGUGAUGGGUAAAGCCCAUGACUAGCAAAAUGCCAGCAACUGCAGGAUGGUGAGGGAAAAAAAGUGGUUUAUUUCCGGCCAGAUACACCUAGUUCUUGAGAGAGGUCAGAGGAGAAGCGUCCGAAUGUUCUGAGCUGCCAGGAAGGCUACUCUAACUCAAAUAACCACUCUGGUGAACACAAACAUGGUAUAAAUAGUCAGACGCAGGAGAGCGGCAAAUCAGAGGGCCUCGCUUAUGGCUUCAAUUAUAGAAGUGGGCUAAUUAGAUCGCCUUUAUCUAGGGACUGAUGUAUCCUCGUUAAAUCCAAAUUCACCGCGGACGUUAUGGAGGAGAGCAAAUACUGCAUCCACUUCAUGUGUGGGUGGGUGUUAUUCCAGAUCCAAGUCUCUCAAUGUCUGGUAUCAACAUCUCUUUCUCUUUCUCUCUAUUUAUUUCAUUAUCUUUCUCACAAAUUCUGUGUCCCUCUCCAUUGCUGUGUAUAUCUCUCUCACUCACUCUCUCUCUCUCUCUCUCUCUCUCUCUCUCUCUCUCUCUCUCUCUCUCUCUCUCUCUCUCUCCUUAGUGAUAAAUGAAAUCAGGAUUUUUAGUUUAGCCAUUUUUUCACGUUUCUUCCUUCUUCUUUCUUCCAAAAGGAGGUGACUCAUUCCUCGCAGAGUGGGGGCAUAGUCAAACACACAUUUGCAGGUGGGCAGGUGUGUGCGUGUGUGUGUGUGUGUCUGUGUGUGUGUGUGUCAAACCAGGAAACACAAAUAAGAUAAAACUAAUUCAUUCAUUGAAUCACAUAACUAAUUAAUCACAUUGUUAUUGUUAUUAUUGCUGAAACUCCAGAAACUUGCUCGAAUUCUCACUUAAGGGUGCUUAAGCAGGAGAGUAUGGCACUGAUGAAGCAAGAAGGGCACAUUCUGGAGAGCAAGAGGGUAAACUUAUGAGAAGUUAAGGUUAAGAGAGCAUUUUCAGGUAGGCUAACAGCAUAUUUAAGGAAGCAAGUGCUUUUGAGAGCUCUCUCGUAUCAGAGCGCAAGUGCACUAGAGUGGUUAUUAGAGCAAGGCUCUCUGUUUAAGACAGGGCAAGAAAAUAAAAGGCUACCGUGACGUUUUUUUAUGCUUCCUUUCGAUUCCUUUUAAAAAUCUCUUCAUUUCAGAGCAAAAGACUGAACGGAAAAAAGGAAGAAGAAAAAAGAAGCUGUACUUUUGAGCCAGGGAUGAAAAUAUAUAAAUAUAUAAAUGUAAUGCCCUGGAAAUCCUGCAGUAGUAAAUCCCAGUCCGAGCUCUCGAGUCGCUUCGCCAUCGCAUGCCUGGAAAACUUUUUUUUUUUUCAAUAACUUUUUAAAUUUAGCAGGGGGUGGAGCAUUCCAACUGCCAACAAAUCAGUUUUAUUGCUACUAAAAUGAAACAUUCUGGAGGGAGAUUUGAUUUGUGUGUAAAAUAAAGCAGUGUCACAUAUGAUCUAAUCUCUUCACUUCCUUUGGUAGUCGCUGCACAUUACAAGUAUUUGCAUUUGCACUUUUCUCACAUUGCUGGACACGCCCACAUCUAGUCAGCAACGCUGGCUGUGGCUCAUGUCACUGAAAGUCAACAGCUCUCAUUGAAAAUAAAUGAUCUCCACAGUGCUUUUGCUUUCUCUUGUAGUCUCUUGCACACACUAAUACUGACAUCUGAAAAUGCAGCUAGCAAACGCAGCAUUCUGGCCACAUGGAAUCACUGAACUUGAUUAUGAGACAAAGUUUUGUUACAGUAAUAAGCUGUAUCUGUAUCUGUAUCAUGACAAACACAGCUUCCUACGGAGAAAACACAUACCCAUUAUCUCCUCUAAGAACAAUCAGGUUUUUUUUCUUUAUUGCUUGU